AAGCCACAGCGCGGCCGAGGCGCAGAACCGGAUCUCUUCAGGUUCGGGUCUGCAACCCCGCCAGCCCCCAAGAUGGCGGCCGCGCUGUGCCGAUAAGCGCGAAGCCGCCCGGGUGCGUGCAGGCGGGACUUCCGCCCGGAGGUGCGCAGGCGGGACUUCCGCUCAAUCCUUCCCCGCCGGCCGCAGCGGGCAAGAUGGUGGCGCUGAGGGCUCUGCGCGGCUUCGGGGGUGCUGCGGCCCUGGUGCUGCGGCCCGGCGCUGGGUGCCGGCUGCAGGUGCAGCCCAGCAGAGGUGCCCGGCAGUGGCAGCCAGAUGUGCAAUGGGCAGAGCAGUUUGGGGGAGCGGUCAUGUACCCCACCAAGGAAACAGCCCACUGGAAGCCUCCACCUUGGAAUGAUGUGGAUCCUCCAAAGGACACAAUGGUGUCGAACCUGACCCUGAACUUUGGGCCCCAGCACCCAGCAGCCCACGGUGUGCUGCGCCUCGUGAUGGAGCUAAGCGGGGAGAUGGUGCGGAAGUGCGACCCUCACAUCGGGCUGUUGCACCGAGGCACCGAGAAGCUCAUUGAAUACAAGACCUACCUGCAGGCCCUGCCGUACUUCGACCGGCUGGACUACGUGUCCAUGAUGUGUAAUGAGCAGGCCUACUCAUUGGCUGUGGAGAAACUGCUGAACAUCCAGCCUCCGCCACGGGCACAGUGGAUCCGAGUGAUGUUUGGGGAAAUCACACGGCUGUUGAACCACAUCAUGGCUGUGACCACACAUGCCCUGGACAUUGGGGCCAUGACCCCUUUCUUCUGGAUGUUUGAAGAAAGGGAGAAGAUGUUUGAGUUCUAUGAGCGAGUGUCUGGGGCUCGGAUGCAUGCUGCUUAUGUCCGUCCUGGAGGUGUGCACCAGGACCUACCCCUUGGGCUUAUGGAUGACAUUUAUCAGUUUUCGAAGAACUUCUCUCUUCGGAUUGAUGAGGUGGAGGAGAUGCUGACCAACAAUAGGAUCUGGCGAAAUCGGACAGUUGACAUUGGGGUUGUAACUGCAGAAGAUGCACUUAACUACGGUUUUAGUGGGGUGAUGCUCCGGGGCUCAGGCAUCCAGUGGGACCUGCGGAAGACCCAGCCCUAUGACGUUUAUGACCAGGUGGACUUUGAUGUUCCGAUUGGCUCCCGAGGGGACUGCUAUGACAGGUACCUGUGCCGGGUGGAGGAGAUGCGCCAGUCCCUUCGAAUCAUCUCACAGUGUCUGAACAAGAUGCCUCCUGGGGAGGUCAAGGUGGAUGAUGCUAAAGUGUCCCCGCCCAAGCGAGCCGAGAUGAAGACGUCUAUGGAGUCCCUGAUCCAUCACUUUAAGUUGUAUACAGAGGGCUACCAGGUUCCUCCGGGGGCCACCUACACGGCCAUCGAGGCUCCUAAGGGAGAGUUUGGGGUGUACCUGGUGUCUGAUGGCAGCAGCCGCCCUUAUCGAUGCAAGAUCAAGGCUCCUGGUUUUGCCCACCUGGCGGGUUUGGACAAGAUGUCUAAGGGGCACAUGCUGGCGGAUGUUGUUGCCAUCAUAGGUACCCAGGAUAUUGUGUUUGGAGAAGUCGACCGGUGAGCAGGACAACAUUUCAUCUCCCUGCCUCUCGACUUCCUGUGUGGAGCCUGUCGUCAUUGGAAAUGGGGCUGUGUGUGUGUAGGCCCUGGGAGAUCCUCAGAUCUGCUACAUCCUGGAUUCAAUCCUGUUUCUGUACGGGAUUAUCCUAACCCUGCUCUACUGUCG